GACGAACGCUGGCGGCGUGCUUAACACAUGCAAGUCGAGCGAGAAAGCGGCUUCGGCCGUGAGUACAGCGGCGAACGGGUGAGUAACACGUGGGCAACCUGCCCCGGAGACUGGGAUAACAGCCCGAAAGGGCUGCUAAUACCGGAUGACGUGCGAUCUGCCAAGUGGGUCGCACCAAAUGGUAGCCUCGGCCUCUGCUCCGGGAUGGGCCCGCGGCGGAUUAGCUAGUUGGUAAGGUAACGGCUUACCAAGGCGACGAUCAGUAGCCGACCUGAGAGGGUGACCGGCCACACUGGAACUGAGACACGGUCCAGACUCCUACGGGAGGCAGCAGUGGGGAAUAUUGCGCAAUGGGGGAACCCUGACGCAGCAACGCCGCGUGGAGGAAGAAGGUCUUCGGAUUGUAAACUCCUGUCUUCUGGGACGAAGUAUGACGGUACCAGAGGAGGAAGCCAACGGGCUAACUACGUG
rnacentral:rRNA from 1 species